CGAUUGAUGAUGAGUCCCACUGCAGGACGAAACGGCCGUCCAGUGC
rfam:Schistosoma haematobium scaffold1349_8, whole genome shotgun sequence.